rnacentral:lncRNA from 1 species
ACACAUCAAAACUCUCAAAAUGAGCAUACCUGGCAUCACUGAAUCUGAUGGGACUAUCCCCUGCUGAACAUCUCUACCUGAAAAUGUCUGCCGGGACUGAAUCAUCCAAGGCAUCGUACGACACUCACGAAUCACAUGUCCCUCCUGACCACAUCUAUAACAUCCUGUCAUGCCAACAAGACAAACUCCCUUAUGAAAACUUCCACA